UAGUCUUAGAAGUCUCUUGUUUCUUGGCGGGUAUUCAUUUUCAAGAUAUUAUAUUCUUUUGUUUCUGUUUUCCCUUUGGAGUUUUUGUUUCUGCAAUCUUGGCACUGUCAACCACAGCAACUAAUAAUGACAUUCUGAAGCGGAAUAGGAAAUGACAGAGGCCCUCUAGAGAAUCUUGGAAAGACUCUUGUGCAGAAGAAUAUGAUGAUGAACCAGAUAACCUAUUUCCAGGUGGACUGAGAGAAAUGCUAGUACUAUCUUCUUCGCCAAUACUGAGCAAUUAUGGCGAAGAAGAUUGUCCUGGCAUUCUCUUAGUCCAAGAUUAUCUAGAGAAUGCACAAGAGCCUGUCCAACAUUAUCUAGAGGGUUUCUGCAAUCUAAAGACGGGGAUAAAUUUGCAGAGAAUUUCAGUAGAGUUCAAGUGCGAAUGGAAGAUGAAAGGGUCAUUAAAUUCUGAAGCUGCUUCCUUAUGCAAUGGAAGCAACACCGAGCAGUUAUGGAGGAUGCCAAUCUUAUUGUAACAGCAUUUCUCACUCCACCUGGAAAUCCAAGAUUCUCUAGAGGGUUUUUGUUUCUGCAAUCUGAAGACAGGGAGGAGUUUGCAGAGAAUAUCAAUUGAGUUCAAAUGCGAAUGGCAGAUCAAAUGCAAUCUAAGCAGUGCAGAGAUGGAUUAUUAGGCUGUACUGAAAUUGGUGCUGGAUCAUCUGAUUUCUUCAAUAUCCAAGAACUUCACAGAUGACGUUGUUCUUCUUGCCGCGGAAAGAUCUAAGCAUUCUACAGAUGGAUCUUUGGAUCCCACAAUAAAUUGUAUAUUCUUUUUCUAUCCAAAACUAAGACAAUUGUAUA